rnacentral:rRNA from 1 species
GACGAACGCUGGCGGCGUGCCUAACACAUGCAAGUGGAGCGACGAACCAGGGCUUGCCCUGGGGCCAAGCCGCGAACGGGUGAGUAACACGUGGGUAACCUGCCCCGAUGACCGGGACAACCCGAGGAAACUCGGGCUAAUACCAGAUGUGGUGGACACACUUAAGUGUGUCCACUAAAGGAAGCUUCGGCCUCCGCAUUGGGAUGGGCCCGCGGCCCAUUAGCUAGUUGGUGGGGUAAAGGCCUACCAAGGCAACGAUGGGUAGCUGGUCUGAGAGGACGAUCAGCCACACUGGGACUGAGACACGGCCCAGACUCCUACGGGAGGCAGCAGUGGGGAAUCUUGCGCAAUGCGCGAAAGCGUGACGCAGCAACGCCGCGUGAGGG